rnacentral:lncRNA from 1 species
UUUCCAAAUAUAGUGUAUUUGGUGUAGUGAAGAAGAAACAUGCAAAAAAUAUUGUUUUCCAUAUUUCGGGUGUAAAUUCGGUUCUAUAUAUUGGUUAAACUGUGCAGUUGACAUGUUUGGAAUCAUGAUGCUUCUACUCCUUGCAAUGCUAAUUACAGGAUUCAUUUGGUACUGCUGCGCCUAUCUCUUUUACCUGCAGGAUAUAUGCUGAAUAGAUAAUUGAAAAUAGAUCUUCCAGAAAGAGCAGAAGGAAGUUUCUUCAAUGGCUUCCUUCAGGAUUUUAAGCAUCCUUACAGCCUCUUUGAGAAUGAUUGAACUUCCAAAUUUCC